rnacentral:misc_RNA from 1 species
UCCCCGUUAUCCUGGGCAGUCCUUCCAGAGUUCCCGGCAUGACCCGUUGUCAGAGGCAUUCUAGCCCAGGUAAGGUUCUUCGCGUUGCGUCGAAUUGAACCACAUGCUCCACCGCUUGUGCGGGUCCCCGUCAAUUCCUUUGAGCUUCAGUCUUGCGACCGUACUCCCCAGGCGGGAUGCUUAACGCGUUAGCUGCGGCACCCGGAGACUAUAUAACUCCAGACACCAAGCAUCCAUCGUUUAAGGCCAGGACUA